UAAGAGGUCCCGCCUGCCCUGUGACUACGGGUUCAACGGCCGCGGUAUUUUGACCGUGCAAAGGUAGCGCAAUCACUUGUCUUUUAAAUGAAGACCUGUAUGAAAGGCACCACGAGGGCUUGACUGUCUCCUUUUUCCAGUCAAUGAAAUUGAUCUCCCCGUGCAGAAGCGGGGAUAUGCUCAUAAGACGAGAAGACCCUGUGGAGCUUCAGACUACAAAACAGACCAUGUUAAUGCCCCUCCAAUUAAGGAACAAAACUAAUUGGGCCCUGUUUUAAUGUCUUUGGUUGGGGCGACCGCGGGGCAACAAAAAACCCCCACGUGGAACAGGAGGACCCCUCCCACAACCAAGAGCCACAGCUCUAAGUAACAGAACUUCUGACCAUCUAGAUCCGGCACUGCCGAUCAACGAAACGAGUUACCCCAGGGAUAACAGCGCAAUCCUCUUUUAGAGUCCAUAUCGACAAGAGGGUUUACGACCUCGAUGUUGGAUCAGGACAUCCUAAUGGUGCAACCGCUAUUAAGGGUUCGUUUGUUCAACGAUUAA
rnacentral:rRNA from 1 species